rnacentral:lncRNA from 1 species
UUCAGUUGUAAACUGGAUUUAGUUACUCAGCUUUAUAAGGUCUUUUGCAAAGUUGAUUCCUAUUAAACUAUUUUAGUAAUUAUUGUUCAAAUUUAUGUUGUAAAUUUUUAAGUUUCAACUUUGAUCAUUAGCAGAUUUCUUGUGCUAUUUAAUAUUUUUGAUAAUUCCUUAAAUCUUUUCUUAUGUGAUAGAUAUAUUCUAGUCCCAAAAAAAUAUAACAUGGAAACUGAAAAGAAUUAUCAAAAUUAUUCUUUAUAUCUGCAUAAGUUUUGUCUUGCCUGCUUAUUUUUUGCAUAGAGGUGCUUAUGUUUCUAUUAAUUCUUUGUAUAUUUCUUCAUUAUUAAGGCGGAAGAAGUUUUGGGUAAUCAAUAUUUGGUAGACAGAUGACACAUAGGGUUUGAGGUUAAUAUCUGGCUUAUAUCUGUUGUUCUUUAUCUUAUUGCAUGGUCAAAUUACCCUAACCCUAAUGCUUCAUUAUUAAGUCAGGUAGAAAUUCUUGGUAAUCAGUAUUUGGUCUAGACAAAUGACACAUGGGGUUUGAGGUUUACAUCUGGCUUAUAUCUAGAUCUGUUGUUCUGUACUGUAUUUCCAUGGUCAAAUUACAACUAAAUUAACUCAAAAUUUCCCACCAUUAUAAUGUUGAAUAGGACGACUUUAUGAAGUUAAUAUGUUUAUUGUAAGGUUCACAUUUGUCAAAAAGGGUUUCGUGGUUCAGUGAUCAAAGUUAAGUUUUCUUGAUUAAAUCUGUUUCUCAGAGACUUAAUCCAAAUGAAGUACACCACUAAUUCAUGGCCCAAUUGCUUUCUAUGUUAAAUUCCUCAAUUUCAAGCAGAUACACCUCUUUUGUUUUAAGUUCAAAUAAAGUAACAAUCAUUGCAUGUCAAAGCAACACUUUAUGGUGUCUUGUGCUGACAAAAUCAGCAUACCUUUAAUGGCAUAUAAGAAAGAACUGGUUCACGGAACUUCAGAUGUACCAAAACAGGUACUUCAGAUCUGACUAACAGGCAAAAUGUACCCUCUUUUUAAAAUUUGGUGCAGUUUUUUCAAUAUUUAAAAUUAUAAACAUUGUAACUUGAAAAUGCUAGCAUUAUGAAUGUUUUGAUUAUCUUGAAUUUUGAUACAUUACCAAUAAUAAUUUUCAUUCAUUCCAUGCCUGAUCAUUUUAAUACAUGAAAUACAUUGUUUGUUGUUGUUAAUUUCUUUUUUUUAAUUAAAAGGAUGUGAACUUAUAGUUAAUUUUUAAUCUUAUAAAGGGCCAGUGUCAGAUUUUGCCAUCACCUGUUAACUUUUACAAAAGUUUCUCCGAAACUUCUUGGCCAAAUUUGCAAGUUAAACCAAAUCAUCCUUGAGCGAUCUAGUUUUUGUCGAGCCUUCGACUUUAGUCACAGAAAGCUUGACAUAGGGAUAGUGAUCUGGCAGCAGCUGAGUUAGUUAGCUUCGUAUAAGCUUUAUAUUUUAGAAGAUGGAAGACCUUGAUGCUUCAUACUGUAUAUAAGGGCCUUAUGUUACAAAGUUUUUGUCUGUCAUAUGACCAUUGUCCUUGACCUCAUUUUCAUUGUUCAGUUACUACUUGAAAAAAAAGGUUAAGAUUUUUUGAAUUGUUAAUUUCUCUCUUAUGAGUAAUAGGAUAUGGGUAUUCAUUAUUAUUCGUUGGAUACCAAUUUUCGUGGCUUUCAUGGGUACAGGUGAACCAUGAAAUUAAAUGAUCAAGGAAUAACAAAUUCUCUUUCAGAUUGUAUACAGAAAAUAAAUAUCCA